UCCGAAUUGGUGUAGUGGCUAACAUUUGACGCUCUCAAUUAUCGCAAACAUCUGUUCUGUGAAAGUGCCGUCAAGCCCGGGGUUCGAUUCCCCGAUUCGGAG
rnacentral:tRNA from 1 species